UACGUAGGGUGCAAGCGUUGCCCGGAUUUAUUGGGCGUAAAGGGCGCGUAGGCGGCUCUGCACGUCCGUUGUGAAAUCGCCCGGCUCAACUGGGCGGGGUCAGCGGAUACGGCAGAGCUUGAGCAAGCUAGGGGGCAAUGGAAUUCCCGGUGUAGUGGUGGAAUGCGUAGAUAUCGGGAGGAACACCAGUGGCGAAGGCGGUUGCCUGGGGCUU
rnacentral:rRNA from 1 species